AAGACUGGAUAGGAAAAGUAAAGGCACCUUUACUUUUUUAAAAGACCUUCUUUGAAGGUAUGCUUAAGGAGGGGCUUGCGACACAUUAGUUAGUUGGCAGGGUAAAGGCCUACCAAGACUAUGAUGUGUAGCUGGACUGAGAGGUUGAACAGCCACAUUGGGACUGAGACACGGCCCAAACUCCUACGGGAGGCAGCAGUAGGGAAUUUUCGGCAAUGGAGGAAACUCUGACCGAGCAACGCCGCGUGAACGAUGAAGUACCUCGGUAUGUAAAGUUCUUUUAUUAAGGAAGAAAAAAGAGUGGAAAAACUCCCUUGACGGUACUUAAUGAAUAAGCCCCGGCUAAUUAUGUGCCAGCAGCCGCGGUAAUACAUAAGGGGCGAGCGUUAUCCGGAAUUAUUGGGCGUAAAGGGUGCGUAGGCGGUUUAAUAAGUCUAUAGUUUAAUUUCAGCGCUUAACGCUGUUGUGCUAUAGAAACUGUUUUACUAGAGUGAGUUAGAGGCAAGCGGAAUUCCAUGUGUAGCGGUAAAAUGCGUAAAUAUAUGGAGGAACACCAGAGGCGUAGGCGGCUUGCUGGGACUUUACUGACGCUGAGGCACGAAAGCGUGGGGAGCAAACAGGAUUAGAUACCCUGGUAGUCCACGCCGUAAACGAUGAGUACUAAGUGUCGGGUAAAACCGGUACUGAAGUUAACACAUUAAGUACUCCGCCUGAGUAGUACGUACGCAAGUAUGAAACUUAAAGGAAUUGACGGGACUCCGCACAAGCGGUGGAUCAUGUUGUUUAAUUCGAAGAUACACGAAAAACCUUACCAGGUCUUGACAUUUUCUUGCGAAGUUAUAGAAAUAUAAUGGAGGUUAUCAAGAAAACAGGUGGUGCAUGGUUGUCGUCAGCUCGUGUCGUGAGAUGUUAGGUUAAGUCCUAAAACGAGCGCAACCCUUGUCGUUAAUUGCCAGCAUGUAAUGAUGGGGACUUUAACGAGACUGCCAAUGAAAAAUUGGAGGAAGGUGGGGAUUACGUCAAAUCAUCAUGCCCCUUAUGAUCUGGGCUACAAACGUGAUACAAUGGUUGAUACAAAGAGUAGCUGAAACGCGAGUUCUUAGCCAAUCUCACAAAAUCAAUCUCAGUUCGGAUUGAAGUCUGCAACUCGACUUCAUGAAGUUGGAAUCGCUAGUAAUCGCGAAUCAGCAUGUCGCGGUGAAUACGUUCUCGGGGUUUGUACACACCGCC
rnacentral:rRNA from 1 species